CUGGCGGCAGGCCUAACACAUGCAAGUCGAACGAGAAGCCACCUUCGGGUGGUGGACAGUGGCAGACGGGUGAGUAACGCGUGGGAACGUGCCUUUCGGUUCGGGAUAACCCAGGGAAACUUGGGCUAAUACCGGAUACGCCCUUCGGGGGAAAGAUUCAUUGCCGAAAGAUCGGCCCGCGUCGGAUUAGCUAGUUGGUGGGGUAAAAGCCCACCAAGGCGACGAUCCGUAGCUGGUCUGAGAGGAUGACCAGCCACACUGGGACUGAGACACGGCCCAGACUCCUACGGGAGGCAGCAGUGGGGAAUAUUGGACAAUGGGCGCAAGCCUGAUCCAGCCAUGCCGCGUGGGUGAAGAAGGCCUUAGGGUUGUAAACCCCUUUCAGCGGGGAAGAUAAUGACGGUACCCGCAGAAGAAGUCCCGGCUAACUCCGUGCCAGCAGCCGCGGUAAUACGGAGGGGACUAGCGUUGUUCGGAAUUACUGGGCGUAAAGCGCACGUAGGCGGAUUUGUAAGUCAGGGGUGAAAUCCCGAGGCUCAACCUUGGAACUGCCUUUGAUACUGCAAAUCUCGAGUCCGGAAGAGGUGAGUGGAAUUCCUAGUGUAGAGGUGAAAUUCGUAGAUAUUAGGAAGAACACCAGUGGCGAAGGCGGCUCACUGGUCCGGUACUGACGCUGAGGUGCGAAAGCG
rnacentral:rRNA from 1 species